CCCCGGUAAACGGCGGCCGUAACUAUAACGGUCCUAAGGUAGCGAAAUUCCUUGUCGGGUAAGUUCCGACCUGCACGAAUGGCGUAAUGAUGGCCAGGCUGUCUCCACCCGAGACUCAGUGAAAUUGAACUCGCUGUGAAGAUGCAGUGUACCCGCGGCAAGACGGAAAGACCCCGUGAACCUUUACUAUAGCUUGACACUGAACAUUGAGCCUUGAUGUGUAGGAUAGGUGGGAGGCUUUGAAGUGUGGACGCCAGUCUGCAUGGAGCCGACCUUGAAAUACCACCCUUUAAU
rnacentral:rRNA from 3 species